CUCCAAAGUGUUGAGUUCAGUUCAGGGUAGCAUCCCUGUGCUGUUAAUUAAACUUUGGAACAUUGAAACAGGCUAGGAUAAAUGAAUGGGUAGAAAAAUCUGCUCUAUUCACUUAUCUCCCAGCCUACAAAA
rnacentral:snoRNA from 1 species